GACGAACGCUGGCGGCGUGCUUAACACAUGCAAGUAGAACGCAGUUGCGAACGGGUGAGUAACGCGUAGGUAACUGCAUGGUAGCGGGGGAUAACUAUUGGAAACGAUAGCUAAUAUCGCAUACUACCAGAUGGACCUGCGUUGUAUUCGCUAGUUGGUGGGGUAACGGCGCACCAAGGGAACGAUCCAUGGCCGGCCCGUGAGGGUGAACGGGCCCAAUUGGAAUGGGGCACGGCCCAGACCCCUACGGGGGGCAAGCGGAGGGAAACGUCGGGCAGUGGGGGAACGCUGGACGGGGAACAGCGCGGGAGGGAAGGAGGGUUUCGGAUCGUUAAGCUCUGUUUUUAAGAGAACGGUACUUAACCAGAAAGGGACGGCUAACUACGUGCCAGCAGCCGCGGUAAUAC
rnacentral:rRNA from 1 species